GGGCGUUUAGCGCAGUGGUAGCGCGUAUGCUUUGCACGGCUUUGGUCGGGCUUCCGUCUGUAUAAGGUCCAGGGUUCAAUCCCCUGAACGUCCA